rnacentral:rRNA from 1 species
UACGGAGGGUGCGAGCGUUGUCCGGAAUCACUGGGCGUAAAGGGCGCGUAGGCGGCGAGGAUAGUCAACGGUGAAAGCUUGGGGCUCAACCCCGAGUCGGCCGUCGAUACUUCCUUGCUUGAGCACUGUAGAGGCAGAUGGAAUUCCGGGUGUAGCGGUGGAAUGCGUAGAGAUCCGGAAGAACACCGGUGGCGAAGGCGGCAUCCUGGACCGACACUGACGCUGAGGAGCGAAAGCCAGGGGAGCAAACGGG